UACGAAGGGGGCUAGCGUUGUUCGGAAUUACUGGGCGUAAAGCGCGCGCAGGCGGUCCUUCAAGUCAGAGGUGAAAGCCCAGAGCUCAACUCUGGAAUGGCCUUUGAGACUAGAGAACUUGGGUACGGGAGAGGUGAGUGGAAUUCCGAGUGUAGAGGUGAAAUUCGUAGAUAUUCGGAAGAACACCAGUGGCGAAGGCGGGUCACUGGUCCGCAACUGACGCUGAGGUGCGAAAGCGUGGGGAGCAAACAGG
rnacentral:rRNA from 1 species